rnacentral:rRNA from 1 species
AUUGAACGCUGGCGGCAUGCCUUACACAUGCAAGUCGAACGGCAGCACGGGAGCUUGCUCCUGGUGGCGAGUGGCGAACGGGUGAGUAAUACAUCGGAACGUACCCUGAAGUGGGGGAUAACGUAGCGAAAGUUACGCUAAUACCGCAUAUUCUGUGAGCAGGAAAGAGGGGGAUCGCAAGACCUCUUGCUUUAGGAGCGGCCGAUGUCGGAUUAGCUAGUUGGUGAGGUAAAGGCUCACCAAGGCGACGAUCCGUAGCGGGUCUGAGAGGAUGAUCCGCCACACUGGGACUGAGACACGGCCCAGACUCCUACGGGAGGCAGCAGUGGGGAAUUUUGGACAAUGGGCUCAAGCCUGAUCCAGCCAUGCCGCGUGAGUGAAGAAGGCCU